AGAGUUUGAUCCUGGCUCAGGACGAACGCUGGCGGCGUGCUUAACACAUGCAAGUCGAGCGGAAAGGCCCUUCGGGGUACUCGAGCGGCGAACGGGUGAGUAACACGUGAGUAAUCUGCCCCUAGCUCUGGGAUAGCUCCGGGAAACCGGGAUUAAUACCGGAUACGACCACUACGGACAUCUGUUUUGGUGGAAAGAAUUUCGGCUAGGGAUGAGCUCGCGGCCUAUCAGCUUGUUGGUGGGGUAACGGCCUACCAAGGCGACGACGGGUAGCCGGCCUGAGAGGGCGACCGGCCACACUGGGACUGAGACACGGCCCAGACUCCUACGGGAGGCAGCAGUGGGGAAUAUUGCGCAAUGGGCGAAAGCCUGACGCAGCGACGCCGCGUGGGGGAUGAAGGCCUUCGGGUUGUAAACCCCUUUCAGCAGGGACGAAGCGAGAGUGACGGUACCUGCAGAAGAAGCGCCGGCUAACUACGUGCCAGCAGCCGCGGUAACACGUAGGGCGCAAGCGUUGUCCGGAAUUAUUGGGCGUAAAGAGCUCGUAGGCGGUCUGUUGCGUCCGCUGUGAAAACUCGGGGCUUAACCCCGAGCCUGCAGUGGAUACGGGCAGACUAGAGGUAGGUAGGGGAGAAUGGAAUUCCCGGUGUAGCGGUGAAAUGCGCAGAUAUCGGGAGGAACACCGGUGGCGAAGGCGGUUCUCUGGGCCUUACCUGACGCUGAGGAGCGAAAGCGUGGGGAGCGAACAGGAUUAGAUACCCCGGUAGUCC
rnacentral:rRNA from 1 species